rnacentral:rRNA from 1 species
GAUGAACGCUGGCGGCGUGCCUAAUACAUGCAAGUCGAGCGAAUGGAUUAAGAGCUUGCUCUUAUGAAGUUAGCGGCGGACGGGUGAGUAACACGUGGGUAACCUGCCCAUAAGACUGGGAUAACUCCGGAAAACCGGGGCUAAUACCGGAUAACAUUUUGAACCGCAUGGUUCGAAAUUGAAAGGCGGCUUCGGCUGUCACUUAUGGAUGGACCCGCGUCGCAUUAGCUAGUUGGUGAGGUAACGGCUCACCAAGGCAACGAUGCGUAGCCGACCUGAGAGGGUGAGCGGCCACACUGGGACUGAGACACGGCCCAGACUCCUACGGGAGGCAGCAGUAGGGAAUCUUCCGCAAUGGACGAAAGUCUGACGGAGCAACGCCGCGUGAGUGAUGAAGGCUUUCGGGUCGUAAAACUCUGUUGUUAGGGAAGAACAAGUGCUAGUUGAAUAAGCUGGCACCUUGACGGUACCUAACCAGAAAGCCCCGGCUAACUUCGUGCCAGCCGCCGCAGUAA